rnacentral:rRNA from 1 species
AGAGUUUGAUCCUGGCUCAGGAUGAACGCUAGCUACAGGCUUAACACAUGCAAGUCGAGCGGUAUGUGCUUUAGUGCAUACAGCGGCAGACGGGUGAGUAACACGUAUCUAACCUUCCCCUUACUUGGGCAUAGCCUCUGGAAACGGAGAUUAAUUUCCGAUGUGGUGUACAUUUCGCAUGUUUUGCGCACCAAAGAUUUAUCGGUAAGGGAUGGGGAUGCGCUCCAUUAGGUUGUAGGUAGGGUAAUGGCCUACCUAGCCUAUGAUGGAUAGGGGUUCUGAGAGGAAGGUCCCCCACAUUGGAACUGCGACACGGUCCAAACUCCUACGGGAGGCAGCAGUGAGGAAUAUUGGUCAAUGGCCGGAAGGCUGAACCAGCCAAGUAGCGUGCAGGAUGACUGCCUUAUGGGUUGUAAACUGCUUUUUUACGGGAAUAAUUAUGAUCACGUGUGAUUAUUUGCAUGUACCGUAAGAAUAAGGAUCGGCUAACUCCGUGCCAGCAGCCGCGGUAAUACGGAGGAUCCUAGUGUUAUCCGGAUUUAUUGGGUUUAAAGGGAGCGUAGGCGGGAGGUCAAGUCAGCUGUGAAAUGUAUCUGCUUAACGGGUACACUGCAGUUGAAACUGGUUUUCUUGAGUGCGUAAGAGGCAGGCGGAAUUCGUUGUGUAGCGGUGAAAUGCUUAGAUAUGACGAGGAACUCCUAUUGCGAAGGCAGCUUGCUGGGUCGUUACUGACGCUGAUGCUCGAAGGUGCGGGGAUCAAACAGGAUUAGAUACCCUGGUAGUCCGCACAGUAAACUAUGGAUACUCUCUGCCGGCGAUACAUUGUCGGUGGCCAAGCGAAAGCGUUAAGUAUCCCACCUGGGGAGUACGUUCGCAAGAAUGAAACUCAAAGGAAUUGACGGGGGCCCGCACAAGCGGAGGAACAUGUGGUUUAAUUCGAUGAUACGCGAGGAACCUUACCCGGGUUUGAAUUGCUGAUGGCGGUAUUUGGAGACAGAUACUUCCCUUCGGGGCGUCAGUGAAGGUGCUGCAUGGUUGUCGUCAGCUCGUGCCGUGAGGUGUCGGCUUAAGUGCCAUAACGAGCGCAACCCUUGCCGUUAGUUGCCAUCGGGUCAUGCCGGGCACUCUAUUGGGACUGCCAUCGUAAGAUGUGAGGAAGGUGGGGAUGACGUCAAAUCAGCACGG